UACGAAGGGGGCUAGCGUUGCUCGGAAUCACUGGGCGUAAAGCGCACGUAGGCGGAUUUUUAAGUCAGGGGUGAAAUCCUGGAGCUCAACUCCAGAACUGCCUUUGAUACUGGGAAUCUCGAGUCCGGGAGAGGUGAGUGGAACUGCGAGUGUAGAGGUGAAAUUCGUAGAUAUUGGGAAGAACACCGAUGGCGAAGGCAGCCAUCUGGACCGACACUGACGCUGAGGCGCGAAAGCGUGGGGAGCAAACAGG
rnacentral:rRNA from 1 species